rnacentral:tRNA from 1 species
GGCUUGGUAGUGCAGUGGAUAGCAUCCCAGCCAGGGCCUGAAGGUCAUAGGUUCAAGUCCUGGGUAAGACA